rnacentral:rRNA from 1 species
CACGUAGGGCGCAAGCGUUGUCCGGAAUUAUUGGGCGUAAAGAGCUCGUAGGCGGUCUGUUGCGUCCGCUGUGAAAACCCGGGGCUUAACCCUGGGCUGGCAGUGGAUACGGACAGACUAGAGGUAGGUAGGGGAGAAUGGAAUUCCCGGCGUAGCGGUGAAAUGCGCAGAUAUCGGGAGGAACACCGGUGGCGAAGGCGGUUCUCUGGGCCUUACCUGACGCUGAGGAGCGAAAGCGUGGGGAGCGAACAGG